rnacentral:rRNA from 1 species
AGAGUUUGAUCCUGGCUCAGGAUGAACGCUGGCGGCGUGCUUAACACAUGCAAGUCGAACGCACCUUCGGGUGAGUGGCGGACGGGUGAGUAACGCGUGGGAAUCUGCCCUUAGGAGGGGGAUAACGGCUGGAAACGGCCGCUAAUACCCCAUAUGCCGAGAGGUGAAACGAAUUUCGCCUGAGGAUGAGCCCGCGUCUGAUUAGCUAGUUGGUGGGGUAAGAGCCCACCAAGGCGACGAUCAGUAGCUGGUCUGAGAGGAUGAUCAGCCACACUGGGACUGAGACACGGCCCAGACUCCUACGGGAGGCAGCAGUGGGGAAUUUUCCGCAAUGGGCGUAAGCCUGACGGAGCAACGCCGCGUGAGGGAUGAAGGCCUCUGGGCUGUAAACCUCUUUUCUCAAGGAAGAAGACAUGACGGUACUUGAGGAAUAAGCCACGGCUAAUUCCGUGCCAGCAGCCGCGGUAAUACGGGAGUGGCAAGCGUUAUCCGGAAUUAUUGGGCGUAAAGCGUCCGCAGGCGGCUCUGUAAGUCUGUUGUUAAAGCGUGGAGCUCAACUCCAUUUCAGCAAUGGAAACUACAGGGCUUGAGUGUGGUAGGGGCAGAGGGAAUUCCCGGUGUAGCGGUGAAAUGCGUAGACAUCGGGAAGAACACCAGUGGCGAAGGCGCUCUGCUGGGCCAUAACUGACGCUCAUGGACGAAAGCCAGGGGAGCGAAAGGGAUUAGAUACCCCUGUAGUCCUGGCCGUAAACGAUGAACACUAGGUGUCGGGGGAAUCGACCCCCUCGGUGUCGUAGCCAACGCGUUAAGUGUUCCGCCUGGGGAGUACGCACGCAAGUGUGAAACUCAAAGGAAUUGACGGGGGCCCGCACAAGCGGUGGAGUAUGUGGUUUAAUUCGAUGCAACGCGAAGAACCUUACCAGGGUUUGACAUCCUGCGAAUCCCUUGGAAACUUGGGAGUGCCUUCGGGAGCGCAGAGACAGGUGGUGCAUGGCUGUCGUCAGCUCGUGUCGUGAGAUGUUGGGUUAAGUCCCGCAACGAGCGCAACCCACGUCUUUAGUUGCCAGCAUUCAGUUGGGCACUCUAGAGAGACCGCCGGUGAUAAACCGGAGGAAGGUGUGGAUGACGUCAAGUCAUCAUGCCCCUUACAUCCUGGGCUACACACGUACUACAAUGCUACGGACGGAGGGCAGCAAGCUCGCGAGAGUUAGCAAAUCCCAUAAACCGUGGCUCAGUUCAGAUCGUAGGCUGCAACUCGCCUACGUGAAGGAGGAAUCGCUAGUAAUCGCAGGUCAGCAUACUGCGGUGAAUACGUUCCCGGGCCUUGUACACACCGCCCGUCACACCAUGGAAGUUGGCCAUGCCCGAAGUCGUUACC